rnacentral:antisense_RNA from 1 species
CUUCAACGAUCCCAGGUACAGGGGCUGUUCGUCGGUGUGUUCCUGCCCGUAGGUGGUGAGCAGCGCCUGGGCCUC